rnacentral:rRNA from 1 species
GACGAACGCUGGCGGCGUGCUUAACACAUGCAAGUCGAACGGUAAGGCUCCAGCUUGCUGGGGUACACGAGUGGCGAACGGGUGAGUAACACGUGGGUGACCUGCCCUGCACUUCGGGAUAAGCCUGGGAAACUGGGUCUAAUACCGGAUAGGACCGCACCGUGAGGGUGUGGUGGAAAGUUUUUUCGGUGUGGGAUGGGCCCGCGGCCUAUCAGCUUGUUGGUGGGGUAAUGGCCUACCAAGGCGGCGACGGGUAGCCGGCCUGAGAGGGUGGACGGCCACAUUGGGACUGAGACACGGCCCAGACUCCUACGGGAGGCAGCAGUGGGGAAUAUUGCACAAUGGGCGGAAGCCUGAUGCAGCGACGCCGCGUGGGGGAUGACGGCCUUCGGGUUGUAAACUCCUUUCACCAUCGACGAAGGGUUUCUGACGGUAGAUGGAGAAGAAGCACCGGCUAACUACGUGCCAGCAGCCGCGGUAAUACGUAGGGUGCGAGCGUUGUCCGGAAUUACUGGGCGUAAAGAGCUCGUAGGUGGUUUGUCGCGUCGUCUGUGAAAUUCCGGGGCUUAACUCCGGGCGUGCAGGCGAUACGGGCAUAACUUGAGUACUGUAGGGGAGACUGGAAUUCCUGGUGUAGCGGUGAAAUGCGCAGAUAUCAGGAGGAACACCGGUGGCGAAGGCGGGUCUCUGGGCAGUAACUGACGCUGAGGAGCGAAAGCAUGGGGAGCGAACAGGAUUAGAUACCCUGGUAGUCCAUGCCGUAAACGGUGGGCGCUAGGUGUGGGUUUCCUUCCACGGGAUCCGUGCCGUAGCUAACGCAUUAAGCGCCCCGCCUGGGGAGUACGGCCGCAAGGCUAAAACUCAAAGGAAUUGACGGGGGCCCGCACAAGCGGCGGGGCAUGUGGAUUAAUUCGAUGCGACGCGAAGAACCUUACCUGGGCUUGACAUAUACAGGAUCGCGCCAGAGAUGGUGUUUCCCUUGUGGCUUGUAUACAGGUGGUGCAUGGUUGUCGUCAGCUCGUGUCGUGAGAUGUUGGGUUAAGUCCCGCAACGAGCGCAACCCUUGUCUUAUGUUGCCAGCACGUUGUGGUGGGGACUCGUAAGAAACUGCCGGGGUUAACUCGGAGGAAGGUGGGGAUGACGUCAAAUCAUCAUGCCCCUUAUGUCCAGGGCUUCACACAUGCUACAAUGGUCGGUACAGUGGGUUGCCAGUCCGUGAGGGCGAGCUAAUCCCGCAAAGCCGGUCUCAGUUCGGAUCGGGGUCUGCAACUCGACCCCGUGAAGUCGGAGUCGCUAGUAAUCGCAGAUCAGCAACGCUGCGGUGAAUACGUUCCCGGGCCU